CAUGAUUAUCAUAUUUCACACAUAAAAUUUAUGUUCGAAAUAUUAAGUUUAUAUGAUAUUGAAAAAUAAAUUAUAUGAUUUUCAUGAUUUAAAAAUGGCCGACCAGGAGAAAAAGUUGGUGUACCGUCAAUUAGUUAGAUGUUGAAAAUCGUUCAUGCCAGAAAUUGGUCGCCCGGAAAUGGAAAAUCCUUGUUCGAUACCAUUCGCAUCACGGUUCCAGCUGGUGACUUGCCUGCGGGCACCGGUUACACUCAGGGCAGGAUGGUCGGAGCUUCAUUGAUUUUGGAGACCUAGAGCGACAAUCGUUUACACAUCCCAUUCAGAAGAAAAAUCCCGACAAAGACUCCUGGAGAUUUAUGAGGAUCCGGCUUCCAGUUUCCGUUCCAGUGAAAUAGGAACGCUAGACAAAUGUACGUGUUAUCAGGGGACGAGGAAGACCAAAAUU